UUACAAUGGCAGGUACAGAGGGAUGCUACCGGGCGACCGGAUGCGGAUCUCGAAAGCCUGUCCCAGUUCGGACUGGAGUCUGCAACCCGACUCCACGAAGUUGGAUUCGCUAGUAAUCGCGCAUCAGCCAUGGCGCGGCGAAUACGUUCCCGGGCCUUGUACACACCGCCCGUCAAGCCAUGGGAGCCGGGGGCGCCUGAAGUCCGGGACCGCGAGGACCGGCCUAGGGCGAAACUGGUAACUGGGGCUAAGUCGUAACAAGGUAAC
rnacentral:rRNA from 1 species